rnacentral:lncRNA from 1 species
UUCCGUACAAAGCUCUAUUUCUUCUUCUAGUAGUUCUCGUUCGUCAUCUAUUUUUUCAUUCAUUGCACAGAGAAAACACACACAUGCUUCAAGUUCAUCUUCAUCUUCUUCAUCUUUAAGUAGUGAACUAGAAUUUUAUUUACGAAAUGAUCUUCAGUCUGUAUAUGAUAAAAAUCAAAUAGAGAGUCUAGAUGUAUUAUCUUGGUGGAAGAGUGUUAAAAAUCAAUAUCCUGUUAUGUCUGCAAUUGCACGCGAUAUUUUAGCU